UGGGGAAUCUUGCGCAAUGGCCGAAAGGCUGACGCAGCGACGCCGCGUGGGGGAGGAAGGCCUUCGGGUUGUAAACCCCUGUUGCCCGGGACGAAUGCAUUCUUUAGAGAAUGUUGACGGUACCGGGUGAGGAAGCACCGGCUAACUCCGUGCCAGCAGCCGCGGUAAUACGGAGGGUGCAAGCGUUGUCCGGAAUCACUGGGCGUAAAGGGCGCGUAGGCGGCUCAUGAAGGCUGUGGUGAAAGUCCGGGGCUCAACCUCGGAUCGGCCGUGGCGACUCGUGGGCUGGAGCACUGUAGAGGCGGGUGGAAUUCCGGGUGUAGCGGUGGAAUGCGUAGAGAUCCGGAAGAACACCAGUGGCGAAGGCGGCCCGCUGGGCAGUGGCUGACGCUGAGGCGCGACAGCGUGGGGAGCAAACAG
rnacentral:rRNA from 1 species